UACGGAGGAUCCAAGCGUUAUCCGGAAUCAUUGGGUUUAAAGGGUCCGUAGGCGGUUUGGUAAGUCAGUGGUGAAAGCCCAUCGCUCAACGGUGGAACGGCCAUUGAUACUGCCAGACUUGAAUUAUUAGGAAGUAACUAGAAUAUGUAGUGUAGCGGUGAAAUGCUUAGAGAUUACAAUGGAAUACCAAUUGCGAAGGCAGGUUACUACUAAUGGAUUGACGCUGAUGGACGAAAGCGUGGGUAGCGAAACAGG
rnacentral:rRNA from 1 species